CUUUUACCUCAUUUUUACUUGUCACUCUUAAAAUCUAAACCCCGUCUCUCUCUCUUUCCAUUUCUCCACCGCCCUACCCUCGCCCACAUCGCCGCUAGCCAGAUCCGUCGCCACCCAGCCAGGUCCGGCAUCCAGUACGCCGUCGCCAUCAUCUAUUCCAGUGCUAAUGACAUAUGCAAGGAGUCUAAGAGGCAAACAAUAAAUGCGGAGGAUGUGUUCAAGGCCCUUGAAGAGAUUUGAGUUUCCCGAGCUCAUCGAACCUCUCAAAGCUUCUCUCGAGGUAUUCAGAGAAAAGAACUCUAAAAGGAAGUCCGCAUCAUCGAAGUCCACAGAAUCUAACAAAAAGGCCAAGCUGAAAGAACCUGACUUUGAAUGUUCGCGUCAACCAUCUUGAUGUUUGCGAGGGGUGAAGUAGUCUAAUGUUGUAGACUAACUUAAUGUAGACUAGUUUAAUGUUUUGUGGACGUUUACAAAUAUUAGAAGUAGUUUAAUGUUGUUUUGAUGUUUGCAAAGGUUGAAGUAGCUUAAGUCUCUUGUGAAUGAUUGAUGUUUUUAUUCAACUUUGAAGUAGUUUCAAAUUGAAUUUGAUGUAUUGGUGGUUGUAGUAUAUGUGUUGUAAUAGUAGUUUAAUGUUUUAUGUAUUUAUAGUAGUUUGGUGUAUUGUUGGCAGCUA